rnacentral:rRNA from 1 species
UACGUAGGUGGCAAGCGUUGUCCGGAUUUACUGGGCGUAAAGAGCGCGCAGGCGGUCGUUCAAGUCGCGUGUGAAAGCCCCCGGCUCAACUGGGGAGGGUCACGCGAUACUGAUCGACUCGAAGGCAGGAGAGGGUAGUGGAAUUCCCGGUGUAGUGGUGAAAUGCGUAGAUAUCGGAAGGAACGCCGGUGGCGAAAGCGGCGUGCUGGACCUCUUCUGACGCUGAGGCGCGAAAGCCAGGGGAGCGAACGGG